CAAGAAAGGAAGCUGUCUCUACACUGACAUCAUUCGCAUAAAGCAACCAUCUCUUAAAGGUGAAGUUUGUUUCUCAACACUGUUGUGCCGGGGAUUAAACUUCCCAGGCGUUAACUUUGAGGGGAUACAUUAAAACUGUAACAAUCUGAAGGUUCCAGUUGUAAACCAGGGUCUGUUCUGGUGACAGAGUGGGACAAGGAAUUAGGCCACAUGCAUGCUUUGUAAUGAGUUCUCGGAGCUUCCGCAAAUACAAUGUCCAAGGCUAUGUUUGUUCCCCACCACCACCACCAAGAAAAGGAAGAAGGAACGGGAAGAUGGAGGCGUUGAGUGUUGGAGAUUAUACAGAGCCCUGAACCUUCUGGACAAGCCCUUUCCUGCUGAGCUAUGACCUGUGCCCUCUUGGACACUCCCAUCCCUUAUCAUGUGUCUUUCUUAAUAUUCUUAUGCUUGAGCUAACUGGCGCGAGAGGAUAGAGACUUGCAGCCAAAUGAAGUCAGAGUAUGAAUUGUCUAGUGGGCUACGAAAGUGGAAUCAAAAUAAAGGGGCCCGAGGGUCAGGAAAGUCUGAAGCAGAAGUGACAAAGGCAGGUAAAGAGUGUAGUACUCGGGAGGAGGAAGGAGAUAAGGAACUCAAGGCCUUCUUCCCAGUGAGACAGGUUCAAGGUCAGCCUGGGCUCUAAGGAAAAGAAAAACUAGACAAUUCUGUAAAGGCUUAUGAAGUCACAAAUAAUGGCCCCAAAAUUAAUUAUGUUGAUUAAUCUCAUACUUUUAAUCCUAGCACUGGGAAGGUAAAGGUUGGAGGAACUCUAUGAGUUCAAGGACGUCCUGGUCGACAUAGCAAGUUCCAGGACAGCUAGGGACUAUAUAAAGAAAUGUUUUCAAGGAG